GCUUUGAUGAACUUAACAGCUUUGAUCAGUUGAAGUGAUAGAGCUUAUACGUCCUCUAAGAAGUUCUGAGCAG
ensembl:snoRNA SNORD61 small nucleolar RNA SNORD61